UACGUAGGAUGCAAGCGUUGUCCGGAUUUACUGGGCGUAAAGCGCGCGCAGGCGGCACAUUAAGUAAGGUGUGAAAUAUCCCGGCUCAACCGGGAGGGUGCACUUUAGACUGAUGAGCUUGAGGUCGGUAGAGGGGGGCGGAAUUGCUGGUGUAGCGGUGAAAUGCGUAGAGAUCAGCAGGAACACCAGUGGCGAAGGCGGCCCCCUGGGCCGUACCUGACGCUGAGGCGCGAAGGCUAGGGGAGCGAACGGG
rnacentral:rRNA from 1 species